AUUGUUGCGAUAGUAAUCCUGCUUAGUACGAGAGGAACAGCAGGUUCAGACAUUUGGUUCAUGGACUUGACCGAUCGGUCAAUGGUCCGAAGCUACCAUCUGGGGGAUUAUGACUGAACGCCUCUAAGUCAGAAUCCCACCUAGUCAAGGCAGCGAU
rfam:Heligmosomoides polygyrus genome assembly, scaffold: HPBE_scaffold0000579